GUGUGUGUGGGGGGGAGGUUAAAUGUCCUGGUUUGCAAAAGGCUACACUGCCGGUCCGCGAAGGCUGACCGGCAGCUCAGCCCUCGGACUGGCCUUUUGUUGGGUGCAGCGGGGAUAGCACAGUGGCCGCGACGCUUCAAUUUCAGUCAAAAAGGCACCAGGCACGUGGGUGUGAAAAGAGGCGCCACUGCCUGGUUAUUUGCCUGCCUUUUGUAACUGUGGACUGCGGUAGGAGUGGGUCCCAAUCCGUGCUGGGAUGGGAACUCUCGACGCACAGGUGCUCGGGACCAAGAAGAAGACCCACUGACUGAUCAGUAGUAGUGACUGGGAUGCUCUUGCCUACUUCUCUGAAACAUCACUUGACGCAUCCCAGUGCCACAGAGACCCAUCCUCAGAACAAGUGAACAGAUGAUCCGGAUUGGAAGGAUGAAAAUGCACUUCCCACACUGAACAAAAACACGAGACAGCUGACCAAUGGAAUUGACCGUCAGGAUUUCUGUUGUACGGAGUCGAGUCACUGCAUGGAGUGUGCUGCUGUCAGCAUUGUCUACAG